rnacentral:tRNA from 1 species
CAGGGAGACAACAAAAUGUUUAAUAUUAUUAUUUUGUCACCUUAGGUCGAUCGGUACCUCACAUUCUUAAUUUAUUAAGGAUUUUAUUUCCUAAGUUUUUUCUAGGUCACACCCAUUACUUUUCCUGGGCCAUUAGCUCAGGUGGUUAGAGCGCACCCCUGAUAAGGGUGAGGUCCCUGGUUCAAGUCCAGGAUGGCCCAUAUCUCUAUGUUGGGGGUAUAGCUCAGUUGGUAGAGCGCCUGCUUUGCAAGCAGGAUGUCAGCGGUUCGAGUCCGCUUACCUCCACUGAUUACCACCUCUUCCAUAAUUAUUAAGGAAAUGUUUUGAGUAGUGAUCAAAUUCUGAACGAAUCUAGCUUCCUAAUGAAUUCAUUAAGAUGCUGGACUCAUUGAAUUAUUUUCAUUGUUUUCAGAGAACCUUGACAACUGCAUAGAUUAUUUUUAAAGACAAUAAGCAUCUUUAUGAUGCAGAUUUAUUAUUUGUGCGAAUGCAUUAAUAACAAUUCUAUUAAGCUGAUGCUUCAAUUAUGAAGUUAUU